rnacentral:lncRNA from 1 species
GCUUAUAACACAUUUUAGCAUCGUUUGUUUACGUUCCCAUGUUGUGAUGAUUUUCGGUUUUACAAGCGUGUAUUUUCCCGUAAAAUGCUCAUAUUCUAACGUCAUCGUUUUAUGACGUCGCGUAGCUCAUUCAUAAAAAAGCAUAUGACGUGGGAGUACGAUCGGAACAGCCCAUGCAAUAUAUUCAAAUUUUACCACGGGUGUGUACUCAAAGCGUUUGAAGGACGUCAUGUUAGAAUUU